rnacentral:rRNA from 1 species
UACGUAGGUGGCAAGCGUUGUCCGGAUUUACUGGGCGUAAAGAGCGCGCAGGCGGUCGUUCAAGUCGCGUGUGAAAGCCCCCGGCUCAACUGGGGAACUGCACGGGAAACUGACGGACUUGAGUUCGGGAGAGGGAAGCGGAAUUCCGGGUGUAGCGGUGAAAUGCGUAGAUAUCCGGAGGAACACCGGUGGCGAAGGCGGCUUCCUGGACCGACACUGACGCUGAGGCGCGAAAGCUAGGGGAGCAAACGGG